rnacentral:lncRNA from 1 species
AUUUCCUCCUUCAUAUUCUGAAUCUCAUCCUGCAGGCGGCCAAUAGUGUCUUGGUAGUUAGCAGCUUCAACGGCAAAGUUCUCUUCCAUUUCACGCAUCUGGCGUUCCAGGGACUCAUUCUGCAGGGGGUGAGAAAGAUGUCUGGUGUUAUUUCUCAGAAAAACCCAGCUGUUCCCAGAACCAUUUACAGACCUUCUGCAAUAAUUUCCAUUAGCGGCAAAUGGCGACCACUCUAAUUUUAGGUGGAGAAUGCGAGUACCAAGUCCUUCAUAUUAGAAGCAAUGAUAUAGGCAAGCUAAAACCUUCAAGAGUUCCAUGAAGUCCCUUUUGAGUCUGUCUUGAUAACUCAUUUUCUUUGCAUUAUGAUAUACAUUUUUACUCACUCAACAUUUUGUUCAGGUAUCAUCAUGAGCCUAGUCAGCAGAAUGGGUCAUUAUUUUCCCUCUUUUACUGCAGGGUUGGUACUCACGGUUCCUUUAAGGGCAUCCACUUCACAGGUGAGGGACUGCACCUGUCUCCGGUACUCAGUGGACUCCUGCUUUGCCUGGCGCAGGGCGUCAUUGUUCCGGUUGGCAGCCUCAGAGAGGUCAGCAAACUGUUGGGAAGAAAACAGAAAUGUAGAUUGCUCACAUUCAAGUCUUUUGACUCUCUUAGAAAAAAAAAAUCAUAUUUCUCACUGAAUGUCUUCCAGUAUAGGUUUAAAUUUCUGUUUUGAAAGCCAGGGAAAGAGCAGUGGAGUACUGACAUUAGUAUUUUCAGAGUUCACUCUACAGUGCUCAUUUCAACACAGUGGAGGUCAAAGGUAUGGCAUUGGGGUUUACUUGGAGGCAAGGUUAGGGGGAAGAGAGUCUGCUAUUCUGAAGGAGGUGAUGUGGCCAGGCGUGGUGGCGCAUGCCUGUAAUCCCAACAUUUUGGGAGGCUGAGGAGGGUGGAUCACCUGAGGUCAGGAGUUUGAGAGAAGCCUGGUCAACAUGGUGAAACCCCAUCUCUACUAAAAAUACAAAAAUUAGCCGGGCAUGGUGGUGCUUGCCUGUGGUUCCAGCUCUUAGGGGGCUGAGGCAGGAGAAUCACUUGAACCUGGGAGGCGGAGGUUGCAGUGUGCCAAGAUGUUGCCACUGCACUCCAGCCUGGGCAGUAGAGCAAGACUCUGUCUCAUAAAUAAAUAAGAAAAUAAAUAAAUAAAUAAAGGAGGUGAUGUGAGUGGUGGGGAGGCUGUGGUGGCAAACACAAUAUGAGCAAGAAGUCAAAGCCAGCUUUGCAUUGGAGCUAGAGGAUAUUUAGGAAUCACACACAGGUAUGGGGUUUUGAGAACACAAUGCUUUUCUUUGGUUGAAGCCGCACUGAUUUGUUUCCUACCUUGGAUUUGUACCAUUCUUCUGCCUCCUGCAGGUUCUUGGCAGCCACACUUUCAUAUUGCUGACGUACGUCACGCAGGGCAGCCGUGAGGUCAGGCUUGGAAACAUCCACAUCGAUUUGGACAUGCUGUUCCUGAAUCUGAGCCUGCAGCUCCUGGAUUUCCUGCAAAAAGAACAGACAGACGGUCAGCUCUGCCAACCGUGGGGGCUGCCUUACCCUCAUUCAUUCCCCGAAAGUCACUCCACUAACCUCUUCGUGGAGUUUCUUCAAAAAGGCAAUCUCUUCUUGCAAAGAUUCCACUUUGCGUUCAAGGUCAAGACGUGCCAGAGACGCAUUGUCAACAUCCUAUUUUGAACAGAGAAAAGACAGGACAUGGAGGAUGUAAAAGUGUAUGGCUUAUCUCAUUUAUUUGUCUUAGAUUAACCAUCUGAACCUAGUCUCCUUACUAUAGAAAAGCCGUUGACACAUUUUAUGACCCUGGAAUAGGUUUAUAAAUCAUUCAGUGCUAUAAUAUGCUGUGCUUUCUCCUGCUCACUAAUAUAUUUUAAUUGUGACUGCUUGUGUUUUACUCAAGGUGGUGAUCAGACAAUUUUAAAAUAAAUAAAUGUCCACACACAUGGUAAACUGCACUCAAUCAUGACUGAAUCCACAUUUUACCAGUGAUAUUUUAAAAUUACUUUUUAAGGCUGGUCAUGGUGGCUUAUGCCUGUAAUCCCAGCACUUUGGGAGGCUGAGACGGGUGGAUCACUUGAGGUCAGGAGUUCGAGACCAGCCUAGCCAACAUGGCGAAACCCCGUCUCUACCAAAAAUACAAAAAUUAGCUGGGUGUGGUGGCACAUGCCUGUAGUCCCAGCUACUUGGGAGGUUGAGGCAGGAGAAUUUCUUCAACCCAGGAGGCAGAGGUUGCAGUGAGCCAACAUAGUGCCACUGCACUCCAGCCUGGGCAACAGAGUGACACUCUGUCUCAAAAAAUAAAGUAAUUCAUUUAAUUUAAUUACUUUUUAAAUCUAGAAAAUCUAUGCCACAACAUUUUUAAGAUUUGUUUUGUAAUUUCAUGGAAUAACAUGAUGAUAGAGGUGGACAAAUUUUCACAACUUCAUGUACACUUGAGUACAUGGAGAACAGAAACUUGUGCUUCAAGAGUUUUAGCUUUUCUUCUCCACUCAAAUCUUUUGAAACUUAUCCUUAGGCUCCAAAGCAAAUAUGUAGUCAUCUGGCAUCCAUUGUACAAGGCUAGAUUUAUAUUCAAUAACCCAAUUCAGGAUAUGCAUGCCAAAGAUUCAGUUCAGGAAAAAAUGGAAAAGAAAUGUAACUCUGAACUGUAUUUGCUUGGCUUUCUCUGGUGGAUUUUUCUUCUAAAACUCCUUUGACUCAUCCUGUAAAGGCAUGUCUUUUUCACUUGCCACUGUAUCAGUUCAGUUAGCCUGUUUCAGAAUGACUGGUCAAGCUUGCAAAGAAUGAAACUACAUAAAGGAUUUUUGCUGAUUCAGCCGUCCUUCUAUAUUUCCAUUUAAAAAGCUCAGCAUUCCAAAUCAGAAUAUGUAAUCUUGCAACUAAGAUUUUAUUUCCUCUCAAAAGGAUGCGUGAGGAUUGCUUAUCUUGUCAGCAAUUAUAUUUGGAGUUCAUAGCCUUACGGUCUUAAACUGUUGAGACUUUUCUAUCACCUUAGUGGAAAAAUGAAUGAAGAGUGGGUGACAAAAAGAUCAGACUUGAUGAAAACAUUGAUUUUUACUUGUUAAGCCCUGAAAAAUACAUAAAAGAUAUUUUACUAACCUCCAAAGAAAGAUCAAUGUGGUAUUCUAUCACAUUGAAGAGAAUGAGGAAUUUUGCUUAAUCUCGAAACAGAGGAUCUUUUGUAUUGAUGUUGUUUUAUGUUAACUCACUACACUGCAGAAAACAUGACAGGUAUGAUAAUCAAAAAUGCUCAAGGACUAAAAUGAACCACACACAUUGCUGUGGUUAAAUUAAUUUGGUAAAUGUAUUUCAGUUUCAAAAUGUUAUACUACACUAUUCAUCUGAGAGUGCUUUGCAGUUAAUCCCAGUAAAUAUUCCAGGGAAUACAACUAUAAACUAUAAUGGGGAUCUUCUGGCUUUUGGAUUCCAAUUUUAAGUUAAAAAUUCUGUAAGUCCAUCUAAUUUUGGUGAAAAAAAAAAAAAACACGCACAAAAACCCUUUAGUUAAAAUUCAGUUUUUCAGCCUUGGGUUUAUUACUGUUAUUAUUUUUUAUGGCAAGAGUGCUAAAGAACACAAGAACCCAAUCAAGAAAGGACUUUUAAAAUGUGAGGUAUGCUUGUAGCUUUAAAAACUUUUUACAUUACCUACUUCUCAAGUCUGGGCCAGAUAUUAGAUAACGGAUGUUAGCAAAUACUUGUGUCCAAUUAGAACCGUGCUUACAUCAUUACAUAUUCAGUAAGAAUGUAGCCUGUUGCAAAGCUUCCCUGGGAAUACAAAGACUCCUAUUAUUUCUGUCCAGAGCCACCACAUUUGCCAGAAUGUCUGUAUCUACAUUCCAUAGUGAAGCCCAUAGAAACCAUUAAUACCCCUUAGCCAAGGGGACAGAUGGCUCCUUUUCACCCUUAUUAGAUCACAAAAUAGUUGUGCAUAGUGAUACUUCCAUCGAACUUUAAUGACACAAUAGAAUUUGCAAAGAAGAAAAGAAACUUGCUGGCUCCAUUCCAGUUGGAAACUAAGUUUUCUUAUCUUCCAACACGUUUUCCAUUUUAAACUGCAGGGCAUAAUUGCGCUUUUUGUGGCCUUGUAAAAAUUAAGCAACUUGACUUUGGCAAACCACAAUCUAAAAUUGUAACCGUUCGAAACCAGAAGGUCAAUGUGUUGCAAAACUGUGCAACAUUUGGGAAACAAAGUAAAAAGUUAAAAGAUUUUUCUUUAUGUCCCAAGGAACUGCUUAGAAAUCAUUCAAGGAUCGCU